rnacentral:rRNA from 1 species
UACGUAGGGUGCAAGCGUUGUCCGGAAUUAUUGGGCGUAAAGAGCUCGUAGGCGGUUUGUCGCGUCGGCUGUGAAAACCUGGGGCUUAACUCCGGGCCUGCAGCCGAUACGGGCAAGCUAGAGUUCGGCAGGGGAGACUGGAAUUCCUGGUGUAGCGGUGAAAUGCGCAGAUAUCAGGAGGAACACCGGUGGCGAAGGCAGCCCCCUGGGCUAACGACU